UGCGGGGAUUAGGUAAUCAGAAACUUCUUUUUUUCUAAGAAAAGGGCGAAAGCUGUUAGUUUCAGUCCCCUUGCGG
rnacentral:tRNA from 1 species